rnacentral:rRNA from 11 species
AGAAAUGUUCAGAUGGAUUUAAACCCAACAGAUCCCAUGUGAUAUUGGAAGCUAAGCAGGGUCCAGCCUGGUCAGUACUUGGAUGGGAGACCAUCAACCACUGCUGUUGGCUAUCAUUC